UUUUUAAUAUAUUUUUGCUCCACGCGAGAAACAUGACGCAUGUGCGCGGUAUUUAUUAAACAAUGUUUCUUAUUUUUGACGUUUGCGGUAAGUUAUAGCUUGCGGCGCACUACUCACGCGUCUAGUGGCGGCGUUGCGGUGGGAAAGGUACCGUGUUGUGAAAGUGGUCGAAACCGUGGUAGAACUCGUGUUGGUGCGGUAGAGAGGGAAGGGUGGAAACAAUGUUUCUUAUUUUUGACGUUUGCGGUAAGUUAUAACUUGCGGCGCACUACUCACGCGUCUAGGGGUGGCGUUGCGGUGGCAAAGGUACCGCAUUGUGAAAGGGGUCAAAACCGCGGUAGAACUCGUGUUCGUGCGGUAGAGAGGGAAGGGUGGAAACGGUGGAAAACCCGUCUUUGUUGUUGAGCGGGAGAGUACGUGGUACGGUGCGGUAUCCGUUAUUAGGAGCGGUGGAAAAGAAUGUACGAAGGUAUUUAUGGUGGAGCUGAGAGGGGCUAGAAUAAGGGACGAAGGCGGGAGUAACGUGUCGGAUGUGAUCAUACCAGCACUAAAGCACCGGAUCCCAUCAGAACUCCGAAGUUAAGCUUGCUUGGGCGAGAGUAGUACUAGGAUGGGUGACCUCCUGGGAAGUUCUCGUGUUGCAUUCCC
rnacentral:rRNA from 1 species